rnacentral:miRNA from 1 species
CCUUAUCACUUUUCCCUCCUGU